GAGAGAGAGAGAGAGAGAGAGAGAGAGAGAGAGAGAGAGAGAGAGAGAGAGAGAGAGAGAGAGAGAGAGAGAGUAUAUACUAUAUAUAUGGAAGAGGUGUGUGUGUGUGUGCGUGCGUGUAUAUAUGAAUAUGGGAGUGGAGGUGUCUUCAGCCUUAAGCUAAAGCCGGGCUCAAUGUUUGCAAUAAGCCAACAGUGCUUGCAGCGCUCAGUGCUCACCCCGCACACUUCACCUCUUGUCGCUGCCCGUCAAUGAGCCCCGCCGCACCUACUGGCGCCCACACCUCGCCCGUGUGUGGUCACUACCCUCCCCCACCUGCCCCAGCCUCCCUCCCCUUGGCUUGUUU